rnacentral:rRNA from 1 species
CAGACAGUUCAAGAGCUCGUGCAACUCGUGCAAGCUCACCGCCCAAGGAUCGUCUUCCUCUCCGAGACCCAACAAUGCGAAGAUAAGGUGAAAGGAAUAAAAUGGAGGCUGGGCCUCAAGCACUGCCUGACCCAUGAUGGUAAGGGAAAGGGUGCUGGGAUGGCAUUGUUUUGGGAUGAAACAAUAAAAAUAAAACUUGUAUCGUAUGGACUGAGGCAUUUUGAUGUGAUUGUGCAUGAUGAUCCCCAUGGCCCGAAGUGGCGGGGUACCUUUGUCUAUGGAGAACCUAGAGUCCAAGAUAGGCACUUGAUGUGGUCAUUGCUUAAAAUGAUUAAACCGAGUGCUAAUGAACCAUGGUUGAUGAUCAGGGACUUAAACGAAACGAUGUGGCAGUCAGAACAUUUCUCCUAUGCAGAAAGGUCAGAGGGACAAAUGGCAAAGUUCAGGAAGUGCUUGCAAGAUUGUAAUCGCUUUGACCAGGGGUUAUCCCUGGACUUAAAAUAA